UCCUUGAAUAAGUCCAGGAACAUAGUGCCACAGAGGAGAUGGGCCUUGUGCUUACUCAUGGGGGUCUUCUUCUUCUCUCACACAUUGUGCUGAUGUGAUUCUCAUGACUCUUGCUUGGAGAGAUCUGGACGAGGAGUUGGGGGAACCUCUGACCUUGCCCA
rnacentral:ribozyme from 2 species